rnacentral:tRNA from 1 species
GCCAAGGUAACUCAAUGGCGGAGUGCCGCCCUCAUAAAGCGGUUGUUGUGGGUUCGAUUCCCGCCCUUGGCACCA